GACGAACGCUGGCGGCGUGCUUAACACAUGCAAGUCGAACGGAAAGGCCUCUUUCGGGGGGUACUCGAGUGGCGAACGGGUGAGUAACACGUGAGUAACCUGCCCUUGACUUUGGGAUAACUUCAGUAAACUGGGGCUAAUACCGGAUAGGAGCUCCUGCUGCAUGGUGGGGGUUGGAAAGUUUCGGCGGUUGGGGAUGGACUCGCGGCUUAUCAGCUUGUUGGUGGGGUAGUGGCUUACCAAGGCUUUGACGGGUAGCCGGCCUGAGAGGGGGACCGGCCAGAAAGGGAAUGAAGUAAGGCAGAAGUACCUACGGGAGGCAGAAGUGCGGAAUGUUGGACAAUGAGAGGAAGCAUAAAGAAGCAAGGCGGUGGACGGGAAGACGGGGUUCGGAGUGAAAAAAAAUGGCGCAAAGGAAGACGCAUUGAGUGACGGUAGUGAAAAAAAAAGAACCGGCUAACUACGUG
rnacentral:rRNA from 1 species